rnacentral:rRNA from 1 species
AACUUUCAACAACGGAUCUCUUGGUUCUCGCAUCGAUGAAGAACGCAGCGAAAUGCGAUAAGUAAUGUGAAUUGCAGAAUUCCGUGAAUCAUCGAAUCUUUGAACGCACAUUGCGCCCUUAGGUAUUCCUGAGGGCAUGCCUGUUCGAGCGUCA